rnacentral:rRNA from 1 species
AUUGAACGCUGGCGGCAGGCUUAACACAUGCAAGUCGAACGAGUGGCUGACGGGUGAGUAAUGCUUGGGCAUCUGGCUUAUGGAGGGGGAUAACUACGGGAAAAUGUAGCUAAUACCGCGUACCAUAGGAUGAGCCCACGUGGGAUUAGGUAGUUGGUGAGGUCAAUGCUCACCAAGCCGACGAUCCCUAGCUGGUCUGAGAGGGUGACCGGCCACACUGGGACUUAGAAACGGCACAGACUCCUACGGGAGGUAGCAGUGGGGAAUGUUGCGCAAUGGGGGCAAUCUGCCGCAGCCAUGCCGCGUGAAUGAAGAAGGCCUUCGGGUUGUAAAGUUCUUUCGGUAGCGCGGCGUUAACUACAGAAGAAGCACCGGCUAACUCCGUGCCAGCAGCCGCGGUAAUAC